GACGAACACUGGCGGCGCGCCUAACACAUGCAAGUCGAACGAGCGAGAGAGAGCUUGCUUUCUCGAGCGAGUGGCGAACGGGUGAGUAACGCGUGAGGAACCUGCCUCAAAGAGGGGGACAACAGUUGGAAACGACUGCUAAUACCGCAUAAGCCCACGACCCGGCAUCGGGUAGAGGGAAAAGGAGCAAUCCGCUUUGAGAUGGCCUCGCGUCCGAUUAGCUAGUUGGUGAGGUAACGGCCCACCAAGGCGACGAUCGGUAGCCGGACUGAGAGGUUGAACGGCCACAUUGGGACUGAGACACGGCCCAGACUCCUACGGGAGGCAGCAGUGGGGAAUAUUGCACAAUGGGGGAAACCCUGAUGCAGCGACGCCGCGUGGAGGAAGAAGGUCUUCGGAUUGUAAACUCCUGUUGUUGAGGAAGAUAAUGACGGUACUCAACAAGGAAGUGACGGCUAACUACGUG
rnacentral:rRNA from 1 species